rnacentral:hammerhead_ribozyme from 1 species
AUCCAGCCGAUGAGUCCCAAAUAGGACGAAACUCUCGUCCUGAAU